CCGCAACCAAGGUACAUGCCCCCUUGACCAGAAUCGAACCUGGGACCCUUGAGUCCGCAGGCCGAUGCUCUAUCCAUUGAGCCAAACCGGUUAGGGCCUGAGCAACUUUUUGACUGUGUUUAGGCUCUUCCCAUGUCACCUUGGCUUGCAUAUUGGGCUCAUCCCUAGUUUCCAGAUUGGGGUGAGAUAAGGAGAGCUAAGUGCUUGCUUCUUCAGUGAGUCUCCUUGGGUUAGCUCUCCCAUGUCAGCACGGCACAGCUCUCACCAGGUCGACUCAGCGGGCGAGCAGCCCCAUUCCUGAAGCCCCAGGGUUUAGUCCGCCUGGCCCCGCUCAGGUCCUAGCGAGAAGUGAGACUGGGGUCUUCAGACCUCUCGGCCGAAGCAUGGCUCCUCUGAGAAAUAACAAGCCACAGCCUUUUAGCAAGUUGGGCGGAAUAGGCAGACGGUAACUUUAGUUCCUGGAUUUGGUCCCAUGUCGGACUGUGUGAUUUGUGCUCAUAUCUCCUACUAGCAAAUCAACUCUUUUGAAGGCUGGACUGUAUUUUAUCCGUCUCUGCGUCCCUUCCUUCCCCUGAGUCUUCAGAGUGCUUUGUGUGUGGUCAUCUUCCAGUUAUUUGUGACAUAAGCUAAAUUGUAACACGGGCAUUGUUCUCCACUUGUAAGCACACUUGGGGAAGUGUGUCCGUAUUGAUUUGUAUCUACUCAGUUUUUGGUCAUGUAAGUCACAGUGUCUUAAUAGGUACAUUAGUGACUUUUUCAGGAUGAGGGGGGACGUUUACGCCAUCACUGGGUUAAGAACUCAGAGGAGAUUGCAGGACUGAGAAAACCUUGUCCGGCCUUUAGAAGUAGGAACCAGAGCCAGGAAGCCAAGCCCACCUGGUUUUGCCGAGUUCUCUUCUUGCCUUGACCCACAGCACCUCUGGCUUCUGGUUAACUUGGCCUCAAACUGCCCCCUUUUACGAUGGGUGAAUUAGAAGUUCACUGAGGGGUGGAAUUGUGUCGGGAUUGGAGAGAUCAUGUGGUGUAUCCGAGGCUGGAGUUGUUCACAGCGGGAGGAAAGCUCCGGAGAUCGGACAGGAAACAGCACAGCCCCAGCGCCUGCUGCUGUGAGGACCCAGGUUUGUCUUGAGUGUCUCAGGGGAGAUCAUUUGCUUUUCUGAAUUGACCCACAGUUGUGAGUAGAUCAGGGACCACGUUUGUGAACAGGGCAAGAGCGAGAACGAGAACCAUUUUCUUCUUCCUGGUUCCCUGUCUUUGUGACUCAGGGUGUGAAAGCCCCACCUGACUUUUGACGCUCCUGUUUUUGAGCUGGCGCAGGAGGCCUGGCCGUGUCGGGUGGUGGAAGAGGACCUGUUGGACUGGUCUGCUUGGACCCGCCCGCCCCCCCUGGGCAGGGAGACUGAAACUGCUGCUGCUGGGCUUUGCCAAGUCAGUUUCUCCUCCUGGAUCACCUCCCCGCGGUGGGCAGGCCUGCUCCCACCCAGGAGCCCUUGGAGGAGGCGAGCUGCGGGAGCCACGCUCCAGGUGCGGCAGGUGCGAGAUGUGCCCAGACCCUCGCUGCGCCUACUCAGAGCGGCUCAGACCGCAGAGCCUUGGGGCUCCUGGAAAUAGACUGUGUCAUAGCGCCUUUCCCUGGCCUGUGGCCACAUUCAUGGUAUGCAGAGAGCAGAGAGCGGGGAAGGGUGAGGAGCUGUAAAUUGUGCGUAAAUGAAGCCUGGGCAGGGACAGGGGCACACUAGGUUUGGGACUUCAUGCUGCCCAGUCUGGAGUAGCCUGUAGGUUAAUUUCCAGCCCUAGGCGGGAGAAAGUUCCCAGGGUGAGCCUGGUGUCCAAGGCCUGUUAGAUGAGGUGACACUAUGGGGCCAGACUUUUUGGCAGGUUGAACUGUUAUAAACCAAGGUCAGGAUGUGGUCUUCAGGACGUGCAGUCUGUGCCCACUUCCUGCUCCGGUCUCAGGGACACACAGGCCUGGAAGUCUUGUGAGUACAGAGGCACCGAGAGCCCUCACGCCCACAUGGGACAGACCCUCAGAGCUCAUCUCCAGCCCCUCAUUUUGCAAGUGGAGACACAGGUCCCAAGAGGGCGAGUGGCUCGCUCAAGGUUAUGUAACUUGUUUGGGCGGAGCUGGGUCUAGAGUUGCACUCCCUUGGGGACCUUGGCACUGUCCCCCGAUUGCUUCCACUUCAAAGGCAUUCCUGUUGCUUAGACAGGCUCUGUGGGGCCACCUGCAGGCCUCAUGGCAGAAGCGGGGCGGUGCACGCAGGCCCCUGCUGACCCACGGAGAGGAGUCCCGAAAGCCUGCCCAUGCCAGGAGCCCCCGGGAGCGGGUUUACGCAGUGCGCACUGCACCCUAGCAGUUGGAGGGUCACACGGAAGGAGUUGUGCUAUUAGGUGAGGAGUCCCUCUGAAAAAGCAGGAAGACCCUGAUCCUGACUUUCCUCAUGAAUUAGGAAAGCCUUUCUUCAAAGCCUGUUCGGUAUCUGGCACUGAGGACACAGAGAUGACUUACUAGUAAGUCCUAGCUAGAAGUUUCCCUUAGGCUGCUCUCAGUUGUGUGUAAUGGUGAACAAGACAGUCACCAAGAGCUGUGGAGACAGGCCACUCAGCAAGCAGUGAAGUCCUACCUAGUGUGGGAAGGGCUGACCUGCAGGUACCUGGGGACACACUGAGGGGCCCUGUGAAGUCAGGGAUGGAGCAGGGAAGGCUUCCUGCAGGAAGUGGUAUCUGAGCUGAGGCCAGCCAGGAAGAAGAGUGUGAGCAGAUUUGGGAGGGAAAGUGUUCGGGGUGGGGGUGGGGUGAGAGGCUGUAUAGCAAAGGCCUGGAGCUCUGAGAACUUUGUGCAUUUGAAGACCAGUGGUGGGAGCCCAGAGUGAGAUUCUGGGAAGGGGCCAGGGUGAGGCUGGAGCUGCAGGCCGGGAACAGGAGUCAUGUGGGUCUGAAAAUUAGUUUUACAUGUCUGCGUAUAUACACACACAUAGAGAUGUACAUACACAUAUGUACAUAUACGCACACGGAUAUGUAAAUCGUGUGUGUGUGCGCGCGCGUGCGCACACACACACACACACACACACACACACACACGUUGAAGUGGUGCUGUGAAUAUAAAGCCAUCACUUCCUGUCCCAGUGCUGGGUGCCCUGCUGAGAUGACUGUUGGUGUCUCCCCCACCCCCAAACCAUGUGGUGUAGAGAAGGGACCGGCUGUGGGUGGGGUGGAGAGUAGGCUGUUUAGGUGUCUGUCCUGGCAGGAGGACUGGCUUUAGCUUUGGAGCAGGGCUGGCUGAGGACCCUGUGGGACUCCUUUAGGCCCAGGGUCUGCACCAGUUUCCUUCUUUUCAUUGGGGGUGGUGGUGACGGCUCAUAUCCCAGUGCUGCCACCGGGGUUCUGCAGGCUUUUCAGAGGCAGCCCAUGGAGGCCCAUGGUAGCACCUGGUGAGAAAGAGGAAGCACCUGGUGGCAUCCCGCCUGCCUCUCCUGACAGACAUUUCUCUCGCUCAACAGCACCUCUCUGUGGCAGCCUCCGGCUCUGCGCUGACAGAGGUGCUCCCCUCCCCGUGGGAGGCGCCAUCAGCUGUGGCUUCUGCUCUGCCCUUGGUCACUGACUCGACUGCACAACACAGCCAGUGAGAGUCCCCCUUCCCUCCUGUGCUUGAGAGGCAGCCCUUAACUAGAGGUUUGUAGAAAUGACCCAGCUCCAAACUGCAGGGUUCAGGGCCCAGCGGCAAAGCGUGCCUCGGUGUAUGGGCGGCGUUUCACUUCUGACUGUAUGCAGAUGUUGUCCUGUAGGCAGCUGGGCUGUCCCCUCUCCUGCCAGCGAGUGAGCCUUGUUCCCAUGCUGGCCCGGCUUUUACUGUUUCCCUCCUGCCUCUCCCCAGAGACCAUGAAGCUGCCCACCUCCUGUUAUGUUCCAGCUCUGAUAGGAGAGCCAUUGGAAGUUCUUGGCUGGAGACCAGCCCCCUGCCACCGGUUGGCUCCCCUGCUUUCCCAGCGUGUGUGAUGUGCACAUUCCCCAGAGUUCGUAUGCAGCUGGUUGGCUCUGUGGUGCCCAGAGAUUGGAGCUCUCCUGAAAGGGGAACCCAGCUGCUGUCCUCCCUGGUUUUAGGGGCGGGGUUUGAAAAUAGAGAAUCAUAAUCUCCCUCCUCCUCCUCCUCUCCCUCCCCCUCCUCACCCCUGCAACACUGCCGGCAAACUGGAGUGACUGGCUCUGGAGCCGGACUCAGGGACUCAGCCCGCCUCACUGCUCUGCAUGGCAGCAGCGAUCUGGAGGAAGAUUAAUGGGCUUGUGAGUAUGUGAACAGGGAGUACAUUGCGCCUCGGCCUGCAAUUCCGUGGCAGGUGUGGACUUACUCUGGUGUAGGGAGACCAGGGCUCUGUAGGGGAGGUGGUGACCCAGCCAGGUAUGUGUGUGCCUAAGCCACCUUGUUCUUUAAGACUUGGACGGAAAGCACUUCUAAAUACGCCUGCCCUUCAGAGGCGCUUGGUGGGUGGUCGGGCGUUUAUUCUUGGAAUCUCCUACAGCACAAUGUCCCCUUUUUUCUAAGCCAGUCGCUUUCGUUUCUAAGCUGGACUUACUACCUUCAGUUUUCUUAGGAAGGUGAGGGAAGUGGUAGCUGCUCUGUUGUUAGAAAGGGGAUGCUGGAGAGGGGAGCACAGGUGGCCAGCGGGUGGAUCAUGUUCCCCCGCUGGCUGGCUGGAGAAGGGACACCCUCACCCUGUUCUGCUGACCUCUUCGGCCAGCCCCGGGAACACCCACAUGCAAACAGCCUCUUGCUGCUGAGGCUGGAGCGCCUACAGCACAGACCAGAGCAGAGCAGCCCAAGCUUGCUGCGAGGGGGGAUUCGGAGUUCAGGGGCUGUGACGGGCGGUUUUGCAGAGCCAGGCCCAGCACCGCGGCCUGCUGGGGAGAGCCUAGCUGCCCGGAGCCACCGGCUCGGGUGCUGACCACCUUCCCCUGUUGCUGGGUCUCUCGCUAGUGCUGUCAUUGUCAGAUUGACCCUCUGGUUAGAGAGGACACCCUGACCUGGUCUCGGCUUGCUGCUGCCUGAGCACCUCUGCCCUAGAGCUGGACCCAGUUUUCUCCCAGGUCUGACUGAGGGGGGCAAGAAGUGGCCACAGGAAGUUCCGUUUUGGUGGUUGGACUUCUGACUGGGCAUUUGGGCAUCUGGGAGCCGAGUGCUUUUUUUAUCCGAAUACGCCCUGAACACUCCCUUCUUCAGCUCUCAUCACAUCCCGUGGUGGGCCAGGAAAGCUUUGCUUGGGCACUCAUUUUUUUGGUUUGUGUUGCUCAUCCCUGUAUUCUCUCCCAGCCGCUAACAAACCCAAACCUUUCUUACAAAGAACAUGGAAAAAGUUGAACAGCGCCUCAAGGUCACUGGAUCAUAAGUGGUAUUUGGCAUAGUUAGCUGGUUUGGUGUUUGGUGAGAGCUUUCUGCUUUAUAUUUGAGCAAAAGAUUUCUUGGCGGAAGGCCUCUGUGCUGUGUUCCCAGUGCUUGCCCUGUGUACAGGGUUUGCCCCCUUCCCUCCCCUGACAGGUUGUUUUAAUCCUCUUGCCUAUAAACAAGUACAGCAGAACGUGUCAGGCCAGCUCACAUGACCUUGGUUAUCUCUUCAUGGGGUAACCAGCAUCAGCUGUAGAUACACAGGCACUUGAUGGGGUAGAGCUGUCAGGGUGAAGGGGAGAUGCCAGGAGGAAGCCGGGGUCUGCCAAGGAAGGGGAGUGCUAGGGAGUGUGGUCCUCAGUGAGGACCAGGCAGGAAAAGUCAGCUGCCAUUGACAGGAAUGCGGAGACAGUUUCCUUCCCUGUUGCCUUUUGUCCCUGCAUUUCGACUCCUGGCAUCUCAUUUCUCUUUCUCCUGUCUCUCACAUCCUGUCUGGAGGGGCCGGGGCCGGGGCAUGCAGCUGUUUCAGGAAACUGCCCCCGAGACAGAUGCGUGUAUGCCAGUUCAUGGGAUACAAAACCCAACACCAAAAAUCCCACCUUCCCAAACGGUGUUCUUGUUGUGUUGCCUGGAGGACAGCUGGCGGUGGGAGCCUGGCUGCCAUGGAAGAGUCUCCACCCAGAGACACUCGGGAGUUGGAAGUGGAGCUCAAUUCUCACCCCACACACACACACACACACACACACACACACACACACACACGUUUCCCCCCCUCACAGCUGAAGAGGCAGUGCUCUUCAGCACAUAACAAUCGGGGUCUCUAGCCACACUGUGUGUGUGUGUUUCUUAAAUGCGAGUCACAUUUCCCACUGUGACACUGAUUUGCAGUUUCUAGGUCCCUCUAUCUAAAAACUCUUGUAUGUCUCAAGAACUGUGUUGUGUACUCUGGAUUUUCCUAGGGUGGGAUGUGUAUGUUUCAAGUGUUUUUAUCGGGGGAGAGUAGAGUGGACUUUUAUGGAGGGGAUAAGACAUGUUAGCUGCUGGAGACUUUUUCUGGUUCUGCAAGAAACCCAGGCUCAAGUACGAGCGGUGCGAAUAGAACUUGGCCUUUGACCCUGGAGCUCUAGGCCAGUUCAAAAGGUCCAUCUCUUUUUUUUUUUUAAUAUAUUUUAUUGAUUUUUUUACAGAGAGGAAGGGAGAGGGAUAGAGAGUUAGAAACAUUGAUGAGAGAGAAGCAUCGAUCAGUUGCCUCCUGCACACCCCCUACUGGGGAUGUGCCUGCAACCAAGGUACAUGCCCUUGACCGGAAUCGAACCUGGGACUCUUCAGUCCCCAGACAGGCGCUCUAUCCAGUGAGCCAAACGGCCAGGGCAGGUCCAUCUCUUUUUACAUGUAUAGAGCAUUUGUGGUGAUCAUUGGGUAAAUAAGGGAAAGCCCAAAGCCUUUUUUUAUAAUCCACCUCCCUCCCCAUAUCUUUUUCUGGCACCCUACAGAGUAAGUUAGGAAAGCAUCUGGAGUUAUUACAAUAAUAGCCAGUAUGUCAUGAGCAUUUAAUAUAUGUCAGGCAUUGUUCUGAGUGUUUUGGAUGGUGUUGGAUAUACAGCAAUUUCUGACUUUUAAAAAUCUGUUUUCUCUUGAUAGAGACCCCUUUAUGUCUUGGGGUCUUUGUUGGUACGGACUAGACAGAACAACAGAAUGGGUAGCAGUGGCUUCCUGCUGCCCAGUUAGAGUCUUCCAACCGGAGAUGUCUGGGUGGUGUUUUUCUCUCCGUCUUCAGGUCUUUCUUUAGGCCACCAUGCCUGUUGGCAAGUAGAGCUACCCUUCAGGAUUUGUUGGGGAAGAUCUGUGUUCCUUUUGUAGCCACCCUUUCUUCCCUGCCCUCUUUGGAGGUGAAGAGCUACAGACUUGGCUGCCUGCCUCCUUCAGAACAACCAGCCUGCUCUUGUCUGCAGUCGGUGUAAUAGUGCAUCUAACAAUGCCCCAAAGUGGCCCUCUUCCCACCCCCACCAUCUGUUCAUUUGUGGUCCUAGUUCAUGAGCUGAUGUGUACAGAGCCCCACUCCCAGCUUCAGAUCACAGAGGUCGGAAUCCUCAGACCCUCCAGCCCACGCCUCCCUGAUGCCUUGGCCAGGGUUCAGCUGGCCUUUUCCAGACACUCCCUUCUCCAAGAGACUUUCUUCCUAGGACUCUCCGAAAAGAUGAAUUAACGGAGAAGAUGGGAGAUUCUGGAGGAGAUGAUUAUGCUGGAGGGUAGGGUGACUUCAAGGCCAAAAAGCUACACCACUUUGAUUUGGUAAGUAUAGUCAAACCUCGGUUCUCAAAUGUCUCCCAUCUCGAACAAUUCGCUUCUCAACCUGACAACCCUUUCAUGAAAGCUAUAUGACCAGUCACAAGUCUCAGGCGACAGAGGAUGCCCGAGUAUGAGCCAGUUUACCACGGUUGACAUCUCGGGAUAUUGUGCUGUGAAUAUUUUUGUGUGUGUGGUUGUUUUUUUUUUACUUUUGUAGCUGCUUAUUAUAAUUAUUGAAUUUU